GGAGGAAAGUAGGGGAUCGCAAGACCUUGCGCUAAAGGAGCGGCUGAUGUCUGAUUAGCUAGUUGGUGGGGUAAGGGCUCACCAAGGCAACGAUCAGUAGUUGGUCUGAGAGGACGGCCAACCACACUGGGACUGAGACACGGCCCAGACUCCUACGGGAGGCAGCAGUGGGGAAUUUUGGACAAUGGGCGAAAGCCUGAUCCAGCCAUGCCGCGUGAGUGAAGAAGGCCUUCGGGUUGUAAAGCUCUUUUAGUCGGAAAGAAAAAAUCAUGAUAAAUAAUCAUGAUUCAUGACGGUACCGGCAGAAAAAGCACCGGCUAACUACGUGCCAGCAGCCGCGGUAAUACGUAGGGUGCGAGCGUUAAUCGGAAUUACUGGGCGUAAAGGGUGCGCAGGCGGUUUUGUAAGUCAGGUGUGAAAUCCCCGGGCUUAACCUGGGAAUUGCGUUUGAAACUACAAAGCUAG
rnacentral:rRNA from 1 species